UGGCACCUUGAUGUCGGCUCAUCACAUCCUGGGGCUGUAGCCGGUCCCAAGGGUUUGGCUGUUCGCCAAUUAAAGUGGUACGUGAGCUGGGUUUAAAACGUCGCGAGACAGUUUGGUCCCUAUCUGCCGUGGGCGUUGGAAAUUUGAAGGGGGCUGCUCCUAGUACGAGAGGACCGGAGUGGACGCACCUCUGGUGUAUCGGUUGUCACGCCAGUGGCAUCGCCGAGUAGCUAAGUGCGGAAGAGAUAACCGCUGAAAGCAUCUAAGCGGGAAACUCGUCUCAAGAUGAGUCUUGCCGGGGCCUAGAGCCCCCUGAAGGGUCGUUCAAGACCAGGACGUUGAUAGGCUGGGUGUGGAAGCGCAGUAAUGCGUUAAGCUAACCAGUACUAAUUGCCCGUGAGGCUUGACC
rnacentral:rRNA from 1 species